GGCUAGGUAGCUCAGUUGGUAGAGCACCGCACUGAAAAUGCGGGUGUCGCUGGUUCAAAUCCAGUCCUAGCCA
rnacentral:tRNA from 2 species